AUCUUGAAUUCCAAAACUUCAAAGACCGGUCUAGCAAACUUUGAAUACGUCGAACAUUUAAAAGCAAGAAAAAUUUAAAUUUCGCACCGCUGGCGCUGUUGACCACGUGCACCCACGUGCACACCUCUGUCACAGAAUAGAUACAGGACCAGAAGUGUCACUCGGACGGUAUUUUGUCCGAAAUUUUACGAGUGCUGACGUGAAAAUACGCCAUCAUAUGACGCCAUCCUGGAGUGCACACGGACGUUUUUCAUAGGAAAACAUAGGUACAAAGUGCCGGGUGCACUCCAGGAUGGCGUCAUAGCACGCAAAUUGAAAAAAAUUUUGGACGUUUUCCUUCAGCCAAAACAAAUAGGAGUGACACUUUUGGUCCGGUAUCUAUUCUGUGCCUCUGUACACCCCCACCUAUAAAUCCGCCACUGUGUUGGGACCACAGUAUAGGAAAACUACAGUAGGGCCACUCAGCGUAUGAAAGUGUCCACAUUGUUUACUGGCUGCCAACCUAAUUUACAUAUUGGCAGCCAGAAAGCCAGUAAACGGCAG